CAUCUCUUUCUGUUCUGUCCCUCAUUCCCUGCUUCAUUUGUCUGUUUUUUUCCUAGUCUGGUAUUCACACAGAUGCAUUUCUUUAAAAUGUAAACAUUGUGUAGUGUUGUUAAAGGUGUAAAAAGGCACUGGGCGAGGUGAGGCGAGCCCUUGGCGCCUCGCCUGGUUGAGGCGAGUCAUCUAGCAAAAGGCGAGAGGCGUGGGGUGAGAAAGGCGUCGCCUCUGUAAAAUAACGUCAAACUUUAAUUUUUUUUUUUAAACAGUAAAAAGAUAAAAAAGCCCUAACCUGUUGUGUUCAUUUCGUGCCGUUUGGGGAAGACACAACACCUACAUGUAUUUCUUCCUCUCUUUCUCUCU
rnacentral:misc_RNA from 1 species